rnacentral:rRNA from 1 species
GAUUAAGCCAUGCAUGUGUAAGUCUAAAUAGUUUUAGUGUGAAACUGCGAAUGGCUCAUUAUAUCAGUUAUAGUUUAUUUGGAUGAAUUUUUCUAUGGAUAACCGUAGUAAUUCUAGGGCUAAUACAUGUUAUAAUCUCUUUGAGAUUUUCUUAUUAGAAUAAAACCAAUUGUAUUAGUGAGUAAUAAUAAUAGAAUCGAUCGCAUGCUUUUGUAGCGA